rnacentral:rRNA from 1 species
GACGAACGCUGGCGGCGUGCUUAACACAUGCAAGUCGAGCGGUAAGGCCCUUCGGGUACGACGAGCGGCGAACGGGUGAGUAACACGUGGGUGACCUGCCUCUAGCUCUGGGAUAAGCCUGGGAAACUGGGUCUAAUACCGGAUAUGACUCCACGGCGCAUGUUGUGGGUGGAAAGCCUUGUGUGGCUAGAGAUGGGCCCGCGGCC